rnacentral:lncRNA from 7 species
GGACCGACUGCCAGCAGCACUGCGACUGUGCCCAUGGAGCUGCAUGUGACCCGGCCACCGGCCACUGCCACUGCCCCGUGGGGCUGCGGGGUCACCGCUGCCAGGAAGGCUGCGAGGAGGGGACGUAUGGGGAGGGAUGCCGGCAGCGCUGUGACUGCGUGGGGAACGCACCCUGUGACCGCAUCACGGGGCACUGCCUCUGUCCUCCGGGAAAAACCGGCCCCCGCUGUGACUCAGAGUGCCCUAUGAACCGCUACGGCCCCGACUGCGCACUCACCUGCACCUGUGCCAGCAGCACUCAGUGCAGUGCCCGGACUGGCCGCUGUCACUGCCACCGUGGCUCCAUGGGCUCCUCGUGCCGGGAAGCUGUGCCCGCCCAGGUGCCCACCAGGUCCCCAGCGCUGCAGGGGAUGGAGCACUACGUCCUGCCACAGCCACAGGGCACUGCACAACUACACAAGCCAGCUGGAGGACUCGUUCCCAAGGCACUCGAGUGACAACCAGCUCAUGGCAGAUGGGAGCUGGGUGCUGCCUGGGCUGGACAUGGGCUGUAGGGCUUCUCUGCGGCUGCUGGCCCUCACCUCGGGGUGUUGGGCACCGGGGUUGGAGGGAGAGGGUUGACAUUAUGGUUGAAAAUAGGUAUUUAUUCAGUAAUAUUUAUGGCAAGCUGUACCACAGCAGUGCAGGAGCUCUGCAGAGCUGCCACCUGCAGGGGGGAGAGCUGACCAAGGACCAAUGCAGACACGGACAUAUGGGCACAAAGCUGUGGUGGUGGUCCUGAGUGCACAGGGAUGGCCCCAGCCCAUGGGGGCCAAAGAACUGUCUCCUUUCCAGGUGGAAUCCCUUUUAAUCUGUAAAUAACUUGCCCUUUUUUUAACUAUUUCUUUUCUUACUACUUCCUUCAUUAUUAUUAUUAUUGCUUUAGAUAUCAUUACUGUGAAGAAAUAAUGUUAAUAUAAGCACGUAGUGAAGGACCAAAAUUGGGUGUUGUAUGAGUGGGAAGCAGGGAGGAGGAAGAGGUGGUGAUGUGCCAAACACCCCCUGGGCUGCUGCCUGUUUUCAUGUAGCACUUACUUGCCUCUUUCUUAGGCUCUUCUCUCCUCUAAUUUAGCACUGAUUAACAAUUCUAAUUCUUCCACAGUUGAUAGAAAUAAACUUCUGCUCACCU